rnacentral:rRNA from 1 species
GUAGGUGGCAAGCGUUGUCCGGAAUUAUUGGGCGUAAAGCGCGCGCAGGCGGGUCCUUUAAGUCUGAUGUGAAAGCCCACGGGCUCAACCGUGGAGGGUCAUUGGAAACUGGGGGACUUGAGUACAGAAGAGGAAAGCGGAAUUCCAAGUGUAGCGGUGAAAUGCGUAGAGAUUUGGAGGAACACCAGUGGCGAAGGCGGCUUUCUGGUCUGUAACUGACGCUGAGGCGCGAAAGCGUGGGGAGCAAACAGGAUUAGAUACCCUGGUAGUCCACGCCGUAAACGAUGAGUGCUAAGUGUUAGGGGGUUUCCGCCCCUUAGUGCUGCAGCUAACGCAUUUAGCACUCCGCCUGGAGAGUACGGCCGCAAGGCUG